AUACAUAUACACACACACACACACACACACACGCCCUUCUUUUCUUCCAGUCUAUGACGGCAUGUUAUGAGGCAGAUCGCUCUUAAGCUAAUGUUUUGUCACUGGCUGGACCCCAGAGACGCACAGUAAAGCCAUGCUUCGUUUUCAGCGUGAAGGUUGUGUGGCUCGUAGCAGACAGAAAGACCACGCUUCCACACACAAUGCGAGGAAAAAGGUUUUCAGACGAUACGAGGACACGCUGUUGUUGUGGGAUUCUUGGUAUUUGUGUUUAUUUCCAUGUACUUGAUGCCCUGGGCAGUGUGCUCAGGAAGGACGCUCCACCUCGAAGAUCCAAUCAAACCAACUGUUCAGGACCUGACAAAGCUCUAGCAAUAGAUUUUUUUUUUUUAAAUCCAUAUCAUAAUAAAUCAGAUGUGAUGCAUCUCAAGAUGUUUCACUACUAGAAAAGCACAUUUAUUUGAUCUUUUCGGUGUGUGUGUGUUAGAACGGCAAAGACACAACAAUAUAACCUGAAGGCUGAACUUUUUCCAUUGUGUAAAUGCCCUUCAUGCCUAAAUGUUAUUACACCACCUAUUCAUUCCAAAUCUCUAAAACAACAACAACAACAACAUCAAAGUAAUGACACAGAAAUAUGACGGUGUCGUGUGACUGUGAAAAAAACUAAGACAAAAUGGUUUGUUGACAUGUAAACAAUAAUCACCAUUUAAGACAUCAUCAUUAAAUCGUUCCUACAUGACCCUAGAGUUUAGACUGGAAUAUCAGACACCUCAUCCAUUUAAAAAGAUUACAAAAAACAUUUAUAAUGGAAUGAAAAGCGUCUCUUAAAUGAUCCCAGCAUAUAUUAAUCAAGAGGCAAAUCAAGUGGAACAGCAUGUAAAAAUGACAACUGAGUAAUGUACACACACCAAAAAAACAAACAAACAAAAAACACAACGUUACACAACAGACGUCAGCCGUUACUUCAUCUCGGCGCUUUAUUCUCCUGACCAUUAGCAAAUCUCUUAAAUGCUUCAAAUAUAAAAUGGCAAAACACUGAUAGACCACAGCGAUCAUGUUCGAAUCCAGAUUUAGCUCCAUCUUUAGGACAAGUGCUCGGUAUGGACUCGCUAAAAAGGUCUCAUUUACCAACACGCAUCACUGCGGAAGACAAAACUAUUUCGUGCAACUGCGAGUUCGCAGAUUCAAGUAGUUUUACGCCAAAAAAAAAAAAAUAAUAAUAAUAAUUAUAAAAAAAAAAAUUAAUAAAAAGAAAUUUGAGAAACACCGCAGCAAAAUCAAGUAUUAUUGGCUGCAACAAUCAGCAAUAAAUAAAUCAAUAAAUAAAUAAAAACCACAGACGAAAGCUUGUACGAUGGAAACUUGCUAAGCGUGGGUCUGGAGCCCAUGUAUGUGGAAGAGGGCUGAUGGUAACACUCUUAGGAGAGCGCUUGGACCCGAGACGAAGCAUGAGCAGCAGUUCUAAAGGUCACUGCUGGAGGAGUUCACAUGUCUAAGAGGAAGCGCAUGUUAGUCUUCGACCUCCCCGGUCGGUAGCAGUCAUAUGAUAGAGUACUGCUGGCAGGUGGGUGGGAAGUGGAAGGUUUGAUUGAAAUUUGGCGGGGGGGUUUGAGCUACAACCAGUCACAUUUCAGACUGUAUUUUAUAUAAAGAUGGUGCUGGGACUCAACAAUCUUCAAUCUUGAACUGUUCCCUGCAAGUACACUCGUGGGCUUCAUCUCUGACACCAAGAAAAACCUCAGUGAUUAAUCCUGAAAGACACACACCUACAGAGCGUGCACGCUCAAGACCGUCGCUUAGUGCCAAAAGUGUUUGCUAUAUGCACCCUGACGUUACCAUGGAAUCAGCAAACCAAAAGCGCUCUCCAUAUAAUGAGCCAUCUGCAAUAUUUCUUUGUUUCACAAUCAUUUUUUUUUGUAGGAAACAAGAGUUUAGGUGAAAUUCUCCGUGAUGGAGAAACGCGUCCAGGGUUUGAACCACGUCGGCCUCAGAAGAAAGACGAGGACACGGGAAGAUGCCGCUCUGUUUGACACGGCUCCCGUUAUCCGAGGCUGCUUAGCAACACCCAGGUGGAUCAAAAACAUGCACUGAGAAAUAGGGACUGGAGAUCCAUCGGGCGUUUCUUCUGAGGAUUACACUGUAAAAUUCAGAGGAGAAUUUUAUUCCGAGAGCACCCCAAGCACCAUGGACCAAAUAAACUUGGGAGAACUGUAUAAGAGUAAAGUCUUAAGACUGGGUUUAGUACGGUGAAGAACCAUGCACUAGGUGUCUAUAUUAGAAAAUCUGCAUUACUGAAAAGCAUGUCCCUGAGGUCUUUGUUCACUACGGAGUCCCUUUUGACACCAACUGAUGACGGACUAUGAGCAUCAAGCGUUGAGACACAGGAACAGAUCAGACUGAAAAGACGUGCCACUGUGGGGGAAUUCCCCCCUCCCCCAACAGGCACUUUUCAGACACCUAUGAGGUCCUAAUAGACGGACCCCCUGAAGUUAACAUCUCAAAGCAACCAUGUGACAUAAUGGCUUACAAAAGAAGUACAAGUAUACACGGCCAAAAUCCACACGUUUUUACAAAAAGCCUAUCAAUAUAACUGGCCAAACAUCCUCUUGUUGACUUCAUAUAAAAAGUUCCAACAUGGCUCAUGUGUUCAAUGGGACACCAGAUAACACAAACAUGUGACGCCACGAUGGGGCUGCUUAAUGGUUCUCUUCUGUCCGAAGUCAGGUGACGAUCAAGAGAACUAUUGAGCACUGAGUAAAGAGACAAUCGCCGUCUUCAUGAAAAGGAACACCUAUUAAACAUAUUUAUACAAGUAUGACUCAGGAAAACAUCUGAUACACCUACAGGCACUAAAAUCACUCGGAUGGUCGAGUCACAAAGUUAAGAAAAUAGAGUAAUGCGGAAUGACAAAGAUCGUGUCCCUCGAACUUAUGUUGACACGUUAACUCCGCCUCAAGUCAUAUGACCACAAGUGGACAGCUGAUAUUUACUGCUGUAUUUCUAGUGACCAUUUGUAAUUGGAAGAGAUUAGACAUACAGACAGUUUAGGAAAGCGACACAACUUUCAUGUUCUGCAUAGUGAAGUGCACAAGAAAAGAGAAGAGGAAAAGGAAAAAAAAAAAAAAAAGGUCAUGUGACCUUGCCUCAGCAAACCAUGUGAUAGGAUAAUUGGCUCAGAAAAGUAAAAAUGGCAGCGUGAGACGAGUCAGUUUCCCCAGAAAAUACGAUUUUGUUCUCUUGAACACACGGAAUGGAAACGGUGAUUCAUUCGCAAAUGUUUUAUACGAUAUUCCAAUUUUGCGCAGAAGUUCAAUUCGCAACUUGGAUAGAAACAUAGGUAUAGACAGCGAUUAAAAACUGCUGUUAACAAUGAUACGCACAACAAUGGAUAAACACUCUGCAUUUUGAGAGAGAGGCGAGAGAGAGACCCCCAGAACACAAGGAAAAAAGCCCUGCUAUAUGCAAAACGUUCAACAUUGCCAUAAAAUACGCCUGCGAUACAAGAUAAGUUCCUUUUGUCACUUAUGUUAUAGCAGCAAUAAACAGUUGCUCCCUCAACAGCCUCUUUCUUUCUCUCUCAGACUUAAGACAUGAUAAAUAAUGCAGCUUGCUGUAAAAAAAAAAAAAAAAAAAAGGAGACUUUCCUGUGUUGGAAAACUUAACAUUUAGCCGAAGUGAAUCAGAUUCGAAUCUGAAUCGAGUCGAAUCGGCUCAGUAGUGAACUGAAGCGAAUUGAAUCACUUUCGUUUCAUUGUAACGUCUCGUCUGAAAGAGCAGCUGAACGCAGUCUGUGACGUCAAGAAGUUUCAAACUUACUUCAUUCAAGUGAAAACGAACAGAAAUCUGAACAGUUUCAUCAAUAAGUAAGGAAUUCAAUCAGUAGGAACGUUAAUAAACUAACGCACGCGCGCGCACAUAUCUACAGUAUAAACUGUGUUGCAGUAGCGGCGCGUGCGCUGCUCUAAUCUGCACGUGUAGCUUUAAGAGGAUGAAGAGGAUGAGGAUGAAGAGGAGGAAGAUUACAGCCAGGGGACUUUUAUUGUGAUAACAGUGAAAAAAAAAACCCAAAAAACUGGCAGGCUUGUCGGGUUAAGUGCCACGACUGGGGACACUAAAAAAAAAAAAAAAAAAAAAAACACACACCACUAAGAUACACCGUCCACCAUUAUCACCCCCUUUUAUUCACAUUAAAUACUAAACAUAAAUAAAAACCUUUCAAAAUAACACCGCGUGUUUAUCCAUACACCGGCAAAAAGAAGUGUGUCGGAAAUGUUACACAAAAAUAAGACAAAUCCUGACAACAAGCCUGGUCAUACUGACAAUUAUUACCAACAACAAUAAAAAAAGAAAUGAAAAAUAUUUAUUUUUUUAAAAAGAAACUACCACCAUACCUGACGAAUGAAGCGUACAUAUUACAAACUAUGACAAAUAUAACAUUUUCCCGUUAGGUUAGUACAGAAAUAAUGUACAUACCCAACACAUCACAUUCACAACUUCAGUUCAUUUACAUACAGAUAAAAACUUUUCCGUUCUUUUCUAAAAAAUAAAACAAACAAAAAAAAACAGAGAUAAACAACAACAAAACAACAACAAUAACAACAACAGAAAGCUGUCUCUCGCCAUCACGGUUCAAGCCAAUCAAGCGCUGAAACGUUAGCAGGCUAAACUUGCUAGCGUUACCUACCUCGCGUUUCGGAGAGGGGGGGAAAGCAGCGCAAAAUUUAAACUUUCAAGACUUGGACGAGCAAAAUAUCCUCCAUUUCCAGGAUAAGCACUUCCUCCUGAGGGCUAUCAGGGCGCCCGGUUGACUCGUGAGCCACUGUGUGAGUGGACUGUACCGCCAACUGACCGAAAGGGGUGAACAACAACACACAGAAAAAAAAAUGUCCAACUCGGACAGAUAACUAGUCGUUUAUCCGCCCAGACUCGGAGCUUCAGAGCGUCGAGAUGACGAAACCAAGCACACAGAGUGGAAGAAAAAAUAAAAGAAAAUAAUAAUAACGAUGAUGAUGAUGAUGAUGAUGAUAAAAAUAACAACAAUAAUAAUGCUGCCCGAGUGGAACCAGAACUUCAAUAAAUCCCUGUGAGAUGUUAUAUUAGUUCUCGGGGUGAUGUAGGAACCUCUUGUUGUCACUCGGUGUUCGUUUAAUCGACGCUGCGGAAAUAAAAGUGCACCGUCUACUUUGUAACGGCGGCGGAGGAGGAAGAGGAAGAAGAGGAAGAGGAGGAAGAAGAAGAGGAGGAAGAAGAGGAGGAAGAAGAAGAGGAAGAGGAGCUUUCGAUAAGUCCGAAUAAAACGGAUUCUCUCCGAUACACCCCUCUCACCUCCCCCCCUCUUCCCCAAAAACUUCCCACACCGCUUUUUAUCUCACUUACCGGCUCCGAGAGGUGUUUAUCCGUUCACCAGAACUCCUUCCUUCAGCUUUUGAGUGACAAUUAACUCCAAUAAUUCAGCGUGAAAAGAAAAAACCAACAAGAAUCGCGGGGAUACCCUGAACUCGACCCUCCCCGCUCCGCUCCGCCGCCUCGGCUGCCAAAUAAUGCGCCUUAUACACACUCAUACACACACUCACUCACUCACUCACUCACGCACGCGCGCGCACACACUCUCUAU
ensembl:lncRNA